GACGAACCGUGCGAACGUUGUUCGGAUUCACUGGGCUUAAAGGGCUCGUAGGCGGUUUGUCGCGUCGGGAGUGAAAUCCACUGGCUUAACUGGUGGCUUGCUUUCGAUACGGGCAGACUGGAGGUAUGCAGGGGAGAAUGGAAUUCCUGGUGUAGCGGUGAAAUGCGCAGAUAUCAGGAGGAACACCGGUGGCGAAGGCGGUUCUCUGGGCAUUACCUGACGCUGAGGAGCGAAAGUGUGGGGAGCGAACAGG
rnacentral:rRNA from 1 species